rnacentral:rRNA from 1 species
UACGGGGGGGGCAAGCGUUGUUCGGAAUUACUGGGCGUAAAGGGCGCGUAGGCGGUUUGCUAAGUCGGAUGUGAAAACUCUGGGCUCAACCCAGAGCCUGCAUCCGAAACUGGCAGGCUAGAGUUCUGGAGGGGGUAGCGGAAUUCCUGGUGUAGCGGUGAAAUGCGUAGAUAUCAGGAGGAACACCGGUGGCGAAGGCGGCUACCUGGACAGAAACUGACGCUGAGGCGCGAAAGCUAGGGGAUCAAACAGG